rnacentral:rRNA from 1 species
CCUACGGGAGGCAGCAGUGGGGAAUUUUGGACAAUGGGGGCAACCCUGAUCCAGCCAUGCCGCGUGUGUGAAGAAGGCCUUCGGGUUGUAAAGCACUUUCGGCCGGAACGAAAUCGCGCGGGCUAACACCCCGCGCGGAUGACGGUACCGGAAGAAGAAGCACCGGCUAACUACGUGCCAGCAGCUGCGGUAAUACGUAGGGUGCGAGCGUUAAUCGGAAUUACUGGGCGUAAAGUGUGCGCAGGUGGCCGCGCAAGUCGAGUGUGAAAGCCCCGGGCUUAACUUGGGAAUUGCGCUCGAAACUACGUGGCUAGAGUGUGGCAGAGGAAGGUGGAAUUCCACGUGUAGCGGUGAAAUGCGUAGAGAUGUGGAGGAACACCGAUGGCGAAGGCAGCCUUCUGGGCCAACACUGACGCUCAUGCACGAAAGCGUGGGGAGCAAACAGGAUUAGAUACCCUGGUAGUCCACGCCCUAAACGAUGAUGACUAGUUGUUGGGGGAGUUAAAUCCCUUAGUAACGCAGCUAACGCGUGAAGUCAUCCGCCUGGGGAGUACGGUCGCAAGAUUAAAACUCAAAGGAAUUGACGG